rnacentral:rRNA from 1 species
UGCAGUCGACGGAAACGAUGAGAGCUUGCUCUCAGGCGUCGAGUGGCGGACGGGUGAGUAAUACAUAGGAAUCUGCCCAGUAGCGGGGGACAACUUGGGGAAACUCAAGCUAAUACCGCAUACGCCCUACGGGGGAAAGCAGGGGAUCUUCGGACCUUGCACUAUUGGAUGAGCCUAUGUCAGAUUAGCUUGUUGGUGGGGUAACGGCCUACCAAGGCGACGAUCUGUAGCUGGUCUGAGAGGACGAUCAGCCACACUGGGACUGAGACACGGCCCAGACUCCUACGGGAGGCAGCAGUGGGGAAUAUUGCACAAUGGGCGAAAGCCUGAUGCAGCAAUGCCGCGUGUGUGAAGAAGGCCUGCGGGUUGUAAAGCACUUUCAGUAGGGAGGAAACAGUUGCGGGUUAAUAUCCCGCGACCUUGACGUUACCUACAGAAGAAGCACCGGCUAACUCUGUGCCAGCAGCCGCGGUAAUACG